GCUCCUGUUAAAUCCGACUUGUCUUUUGCGCAUUGCGUCUGGCGCAACCCAUCUCCGCACUUUUCUCCUCUCAUCUCACGUAGGCUCUCACGAGAUAGCUUGGACGACGACCUACUGGACGCCGCAAGUGACGGACAUAUGCAUCACGACCGAUAUGCUACCAAUGAAAACAUGGAAAACGGAAAAUGUUCAACGGUCGAGCACGCCCACCGGCCAUUGCCAUGAAAAUGGCAGGUGCUCCAAGCAGUGGCGGCAAUCAUUGGACUGGCCCGAAAACGUGGUGGUGUAAAGCCCAUCUAAAGGCCCCCUCAUGAUAAGCGUUGCCGUUCGACGAAACGGGCAUUUCUCGGAUUGCCAGGACCAGGACAUCGAGACAGCCCGACGGGACCCAGUCCGGAGUCGGAUCGAUGUUCUGUGUCCCCCCGCUUGCAUCGGGCAUCUUGAACGCCAUAUUGGCAAACUGAACGUCAGCUGGACAUGCUGACCUUGAAGAUGCGCUUGGUCAUUUUUGAAAAUGGGCUCUCUGUAGAACAAGACUCCAUCACCGAAAUUCAAUGACCCUACCUACUUGGCUUUUGUAUGGGCUUUUUUGGUCGGCAUCGAGAUUCACAAGGGAAGAAUGAAGGCCAGCCGGUUGCAACGAGUUCUUGGCGCUCCGGAUAUCGACCCGUCAAUACCUAUCUUUCGCUCUUUUCGUGUCAGGUCCUUGAAGCUUUGACAAUUCUCCGUCAAUCAAUUCUGCACUUGAAAGCUUCCA